GUGGCUGUGGCUCAGUGGUAGAGCGUUCAUCUAGUGCAUGCAAAACCCUGGGUUCGAUCCUUAGCACCACA
rnacentral:tRNA from 1 species